CCGUAUGUAAAAUCAAUCUCCAGGUUCGAGCGCUCGUGCCGCCUCUAUUUGCCGCCGUCCACCGCCAUGCCGUCGUCCGGUCGACCGCCCCCCAAACACUUCUCCCCUGCUCCCGGCUACCGCUCUCUUGUCCUCUGCGCCGUUCACACCGCGCGGCGCGGCGCGCCAUCCCCUGUUCCUCCUGGCUGCUGCACCUUCGUAAUUUUCUUUGAUGCUUUUUGGGUUUCCCCUGACGAGCUAAUUUAAUUGGAAUAGCGUGUGUGUGUGUAUCCAAUCAGAUAUCUACGGUAUUGUUGAGCUCCUAUUGAUGUAAUUUCCAAUUUCAUUUCAUAUUAUAGAAACAGAAGAUGAAGAGAUUAUUUUCAUCUAUGUCCGCAAUAGGGGUAUCUGCACCUAUCAUUUCAGGUGGAGGGAAUCAAGCACCUAAAGGGACUGGAUACAAACACAUAUAGGUCUCGCAAAGGGCUUUUACCUCAUCGAAGUGGUGUUGGUUUUCCUACUGUUGGUCAAGUUAUGGGAGGCACCAAUGAAGUAAUCAAUUGAUUUGGCACCGGCGAAGCUACGGCAUAGCACGCCGCUGGCCUCCAGCAACCGGCGCUCCGCACACAUCCCUGCCUCCCACGGCCAGAUGCUCGGACGGUCCCCCAUCACAUAGAUACACAACAGCGAGCUUCAGUUAUCUGAAUUUUCAGUUCAGUGUCGUGAUUUGGAUGGACGCCCGAACACAACAGCGAGGCCAGCUUCAGUUCUCUGAAUCUUCAGUUCCGUGUCGUGAUUUGGAUGGAAUUGGAGACCGUGUCCUUCUCCAACAUAAAUCAAUUUCCAAUGUAAUCGAGUUCGAGUCUAUGUUCUUCUCCAAUGCAAAAGCAUGUAGUGCCCGAUCCGGAUUGAACUUGGCUGUCAUAAGGAGGGAUCCUCGACCGGAACGUCCAUCAGGCCGCGUCCCUCGACCAGAAUGUCCAUCAAAUCCCAUCACAUUGCAACUUUCAGAGGAACAUCCAAUGUCACUGGCGGAGGAAAAGCAUCUGUCAAGCCGUACUAUGCCGAGUUCGCCGGCGGAAGAAGAACACCCGUCGAGCCCUCCAUCGCCUGAGGCGGCUACACCAGAGUGAUGGGAGGUAGAUUGAGCUGAUAAAUUUCUGCACCCACCUUGAGGUCCAUAACGUUCUCCUAAUUAUAUGGAGCCCAAUUCGUAUAGAUGUAUUUGUUUGAGGGAGAGGACUAUCUGUGAUCAGAAGCAACAUUAUGUGAUCAUCAUGUGUGCGAGAGAUGGCAAGAGUAUGUGAUAUGUAUUUCUGUGUACACUACUAAUAUGUAUUGACUGUUCAUGUUGAUACAGUAGGUUCAUGAUUGCUUAUGGAAACAAUAAAAUUACUUGAGAAGGAUUUUAUGAGUA